rnacentral:rRNA from 1 species
UNUGACUUGAGUGCAGAAGGGGAGAGUGGAAUUCCAUGUGUAGCGGUGAAAUGCGUAGAUAUAUGGAGGAACACCAGUGGCGAAAGCGGCUCUCUGGUCUGUCACUGACGCUGAGGCUCGAAAGCGUGGGUAGCGAACAGGAUUAGAUACCCUGGUAGUCCACGCCGUAAACGAUGAGUGCUAGGUGUUAGGCCCUUUCCGGGGCUUAGUGCCGGAGCUAACGCAAUAAGCACUCCGCCUGGGGAGUACGACCGCAAGGUUGAAACUCAAAGGAAUUGACGGGGGCCCGCACAAGCGGUGGAGCAUGUGGUUUAAUUCGAAGCAACGCGAAGAACCUUACCAGGUCUUGACAUCCCGAUGCUAUUCUUAGAGAUAGGAAGUUACUUCGGUACAUCGGAGACAGGUGGUGCAUGGUUGUCGUCAGCUCGUGUCGUGAGAUGUUGGGUUAAGUCCCGCAACGAGCGCAACCCUUAUUGUUAGUUGCCAUCAUUAAGUUGGGCACUCUAGCGAGACUGCCGGUAAUAAACCGGAGGAAGGUGGGGAUGACGUCAAAUCAUCAUGCCCCUUAUGACCUGGGCUACACACGUGCUACAAUGGUCGGUACAACGAGUUGCGAGCCGGUGACGGCAAGCUAAUCUCUGAAAGCCGAUCUCAGUUCGGAUUGGAGGCUGCAACUCGCCUCCAUGAAGUCGGAAUCGCUAGUAAUCGCGGAUCAGCACGCCGCGGUGAAUACGUUCCCGGGCCUUGUACACACCGCCCGUCACACCACGAGAGUUUGUAACACCCGAAGUCGGUGAGGUANCCUUUUAGGGGC